ACUCCUAAUUAAAUACAAUUAUUCUCUCUUUAAUGUGUCCGUUACAGUCUUCGAAUUUAAUGUUUGAACGUUUGAAUUUGAAUUAACCCCGAACUUCAUGGGCUUCGCCCUUUAGCCCAAAAAGUCCCGAACCGAACUAAUCUUGACUUCGACUUCGCCCUUAUCUCGGGGUGCAAUCACUUCGACCAUGUUCUUAGGCUUAUGAGUCUAACUGGCCUUAUCCUUUGUGGGCUUCUAUCCUGCCUAUGUGGCAAUUUUUGGUUGGUCCCGAACUACCCGUGCGG
rnacentral:lncRNA from 1 species